GCACUGCUGAGGAGUCCCACAAUAGGAUGGAACGGUCGUCCAGUAC
rfam:Schistosoma margrebowiei strain Zambia genome assembly, scaffold: SMRZ_contig0000549